UCUCACGAGGAGCAGCUACGGCCGCCAG
rnacentral:sRNA from 1 species